rnacentral:sRNA from 1 species
GCUGGGCGUGGUGGUGCAUGCUUGUAAUCCCAGCAGCUUGGGAGGCUGAGGCAGGAGGAUCGCAAGUUCAAAGCCAGCUUCAGCAACUUAGUGAGGCCCUAAGCAACUAGAUGAGACCCUGUCUCUA